UUCUUUCCUUUGCUGAUUAGGAAUCUUCCAGAGCUUGCAGGACAGUUCACAUAUCCACUUCAUUACAACGUAUUAGCUUUCAGAGCCAGUAUGGCCAUGAGAAUAAAAGUUCAUGUUGAUAUAGGAUCCAGCUGCUGAUGGCUCAAAGAAUCUCUGACACCAAUUCUCUCUAUAUCUGCAGGCAAUUUUAUCCUUUAAGAGACUGAAAUCCAUUUAAAUGUUUAACUAUGACAACCAUGGCAUUUGGAGUGACUGUAUGUGAUAUAACUGAGACAAAAUACCUGAAGAAUUCAAAUGGAGACUAAACUACAUAAUUUAUCAAAAGCAAUUUAAACAGCUCGUCUGCAGAUGGCAUUUACUUUAUCUUCUGAAAUAUUCCCAUGAAAAGUGAAGAGAACUUGUUAGAAAGAAUGCAAACAGAGCGUGAAACAGUCAUCAUGGACUAUUAAUGUAUCCUUAAUACAUGAACUGAACUGGAAACACAUCACUGAAAGGAGGAGGUAGGAGAGUGGCUGCAGGCAUGCAGCUGCCUCUCUGCCCUCUUCUCCAUGCUAUGAUCUAUGGAUAUGACAUGCAAUACACUAUUUGCCUUCUCUCUCUUCCUUCUUCCUUCAGGAGCAGUGAAGAGAUCCAAUCAGACUGCAAGAAAUGCUGAAGGGGGGGUGGUAGGUCAUCCUGAAACAUCCAUUGUGAUUCUUUCAACAGCACAUCCAUUUAUACGCAAAAAUAUAUGUCAAUACUAUGAA